rnacentral:rRNA from 1 species
UACGUAGGGAGCAAGCGUUGUUCGGAUUCAUUGGGCGUAAAGGGUGCGUAGGUGGCGGGGCAAGUCUGGUGUGAAAUCCUGGGGCUCAACCCCGGAACUGCACUGGAUACUGCUUUGCUAGAGUACUGGAGAGGGAACUGGAAUUUACGGUGUAGCAGUGAAAUGCGUAGAUAUCGUAAGGAAGACCAGUGGCGAAGGCGAGUUCCUGGACAGUUACUGACACUGAGGCACGAAGGCCAGGGGAGCAAACGGG